rnacentral:rRNA from 1 species
UACGAAGGGGGCUAGCGUUGCUCGGAAUCACUGGGCGUAAAGGGCGCGUAGGCGGCGUUUUAAGUCGGGGGUGAAAGCCGGUGGCUCAACCACAGAAUGGCCUUCGAUACUGGGACGCUUGAGUAUGGUAGAGGUUGGUGGAACUGCGAGUGUAGAGGUGAAAUUCGUAGAUAUUCGCAAGAACACCGGUGGCGAAGGCGGCCAACUGGACCAUUACUGACGCUGAGGCGCGAAAGCGUGGUGAGCAAACAGG